rnacentral:rRNA from 1 species
CCUACGGGGGGCAGCAGUGGGGAAUAUUGCACAAUGGGGGGAACCCUGAUGCAGCGACGCCGCGUGGGUGAAGGAGUACUUCGGUACGUAAAGCCCUAUCAGCCGGAAAGAAAAUGUCGGUACCUGACCACGCAGCCCCGGUUAACUACGUGCCAGCAGCCGCGGUAAUACGUAGGGGGGAAGCGGUAUCCGGAUUUACUGGGUGUAAAGGGAGCGUUGACGGGAGUGCAAGUCCGGAGGGAAAGCCGGGGGCUCAACCCUGGGACUGCUCUGGAAACCGGCAUGCUGGAGUGCGGGAGGGGCAGGCGGAAUGCGUGGUGUAGCGGUGAAAUGCGUAGAUAUCAGGAGGAACACCGACGGCGAAGGCAGCCUGCUGGACCGUAACUGACGUUGAGGCUCGAAAGCGUGGGGAGCGAACAGGAUUAGAUACCCCUGUAGUC